rnacentral:rRNA from 1 species
GACGAACGCUGGCGGCGUGCCUAAUACAUGCAAGUCGAGCGGACGGAUGGGAGCUUGCUCCCAGACCGUCAGCGGCGGACGGGUGAGUAACACGUGGGCAACCUGCCUGUAAGACUGGGAUAACUCCGGGAAACCGGGGCUAAUACCGGAUAACUCUUUCCCUCACAUGAGGGAAAGCUGAAAGAUGGCAUCUCGCUAUCACUUACAGAUGGGCCCGGGGCGGAUUAGUUAGUUGGGGAGGUAACGGCUCACCAAGGCGACGAUGCGUAGCCGGCCUGGGGGGGGGGUCGGGCACACCGGGACUGGAGCACGGCCCAGGCCCCUACGGGAGGCAGGAGUAGGGAAACUUCCGCAAAGGACGGAAGGCUUGCGGGACAACGCCGGGUGGGUGGAUGAGGUUUUCGGGUCGGAAAACCCUGUUGAUAGGGAAGAACAAGUAGCGGAGUAACUGCCGGUACCUUGACGGUACCUGACCAAGAAGGCACGGGUAACUACGUG